rnacentral:rRNA from 1 species
AGUGGGGAAUAUUGGACAAUGGGCGAAAGCCUGAUCCAGCAAUGCCGCGUGAGUGAUGAAGGCCUUAGGGUUGUAAAGCUCUUUUACCAGGGAUGAUAAUGACAGUACCUGGAGAAUAAGCUCCGGCUAACUCCGUGCCAGCAGCCGCGGUAAUACGGAGGGAGCUAGCGUUGUUCGGAAUUACUGGGCGUAAAGCGCGCGUAGGCGGCUUUUCAAGUCAGGGGUGAAAUCCCGGGGCUCAACCCCGGAACUGCCCUUGAAACUGGAUGGCUAGAAUACUGGAGAGGUGAGUGGAAUUCCGAGUGUAGAGGUGAAAUUCGUAGAUAUUCGGAAGAACACCAGUGGCGAAGGCGACUCACUGGACAGUUAUUGACGCUGAGGUGCGAAAGCGUGGGGAGCAAA